rnacentral:lncRNA from 1 species
CAAAGGACUACAAAAAGCUGAAAAAAGAAAAAGAUUAAUAGAAUGGUCAAAGCAACAAAAAUGUGAUAUCAUAUUAAUGCAAGAAACUCACUUUGUAAAUAAUAUGUCAACCCAAUUAAAAAAUGAAUUUGAAGGACAAAUUAUAUUAAGUAACGGAACAAGCAAUUCACGAGGUGUUGCAAUUUGGAUAAAAAACCCACUAAAUUUGAAAUUAAUUGAUAGUUUUGAAGACGAAGAAGGUAGAUUUCUACUUGUAAAUAUGGAAGUUAAUGACAACAUAUUAACUUUAGUUAAUUUAUAUGCACCUAAUA